ensembl:snRNA U6 U6 spliceosomal RNA
GUGCUCAUUUUGGUAGCACAUAUAUUAAAAUUGGAACAAUAUAGAGAUUAGUAGCAUUGUCCCCAAGCAAGGAUGACACACAGAUUUACUGAAAUAUUUCAGUAUCUU